CUGACCACUGGAGUUACAGAGAUAUGGAAAAUUUCCUACUUCCAGAGAGAGCUCAUGGUCUAACGGCAGAGACGGACACAACUAAUAUAGAAAAGAGUGAAUUCAAGUGAAAAUCUGGAAACUAUGAACUCCGGGAAUUAUGAACUCCAGAGAAAUGAGCUUGUUUUCAUUUCCUUCCAGUUUAAGAGUGUCUUUAACAUUCCAUCUUUGACAACAUGAUUGCCAUGAAGUCUUUGUGUGAGAAAG